AUGUUCAUUGAUGUAAUAAUCGAGGAUAAUAAUAAUAAUCUGAGUUGGCGCUUGAUUGGGAUGUAUGGUGAAUUCAGGUGGGCGAAUAAACAUCUAACCUGGUCACAUAUGCGGCAACUCCAUCAGGGUCAGUCCUUACCGUGGCUCCUGAUUGGCGACCGCAAUGAAAUUCAGUUUUUCUAUGAGAAGGAAGGGGGCAACCCGCGGCCGGUUCAAUAUAUGCAAGCUUUUCAAGAGGCAAUUGACGACUGCGAGUUGCACGGCAUGGGGUUCCUUGGAGACCAUUACUUGGCGCCGUGGAAGGAUAAGAGAAAGGCUAGGCAGGGGAUUAGUGAAUGA
rnacentral:rRNA from 1 species